AGGAUGAACGCUGGCGGCGUGCUUAACACAUGCAAGUCGAACGCACCUUCGGGUGAGUGGCGGACGGGUGAGUAACGCGUGGGAAUCUGCCCUCAGGAGGGGGAUAACGGCUGGAAACGGCCGCUAAUACCCCAUAUGCCGAGAGGUGAAAUGAAUUUCGCCUGAGGAUGAGCCCGCGUCUGAUUAGCUAGUUGGUGGGGUAAUGGCCCACCAAGGCGACGAUCAGUAGCUGGUCUGAGAGGAUGAUCAGCCACACUGGGACUGAGACACGGCCCAGACUCCUACGGGAGGCAGCAGUGGGGAAUUUUCCGCAAUGGGCGAAAGCCUGACGGAGCAACGCCGCGUGAGGGAUGAAGGCCUCUGGGCUGUAAACCUCUUUUCUCAAGGAAGAAGACAUGACGGUACUUGAGGAAUAAGCCACGGCUAAUUCCGUGCCAGCAGCCGCGGUAAUACGGGAGUGGCAAGCGUUAUCCGGAAUUAUUGGGCGUAAAGCGUCCGCAGGCGGCCUUGUAAGUCUGUCGUUAAAGCGUGGAGCUUAACUCCAUUUAAGCGAUGGAAACUACAAGGCUUGAGUGUGGUAGGGGCAGAGGGAAUUCCCGGUGUAGCGGCGAAAUGCGUAGAUAUCGGGAAGAACACCAGUGGCGAAGGCGCUCUGCUGGGCCAUAACUGACGCUCAUGGACGAAAGCCAGGGGAGCGAAAGGGAUUAGAUACCCCUGUAGUCCUGGCCGUAAACGAUGAACACUAGGUGUCGGGGGAAUCGACCCCCUCGGUGUCGUAGCUAACGCGUUAAGUGUUCCGCCUGGGGAGUACGCACGCAAGUGUGAAACUCAAAGGAAUUGACGGGGGCCCGCACAAGCGGUGGAGUAUGUGGUUUAAUUCGAUGCAACGCGAAGAACCUUACCAGGGUUUGACAUCCUGCGAAUCCCUUGGAAACUUGGGAGUGCCUUCGGGAGCGCAGAGACAGGUGGUGCAUGGCUGUCGUCAGCUCGUGUCGUGAGAUGUUGGGUUAAGUCCCGCAACGAGCGCAACCCACGUCUUUAGUUGCCAGCAUUCAGUUGGGCACUCUAGAGAGACCGCCGGUGAUAAACCGGAGGAAGGUGUGGAUGACGUCAAGUCAUCAUGCCCCUUACAUCCUGGGCUACACACGUACUACAAUGCUACGGACAAAGGGCAGCAAGCUCGCGAGAGUUAGCAAAUCCCAUAAGCCGUGGCUCAGUUCAGAUCGUAGGCUGCAACUCGCCUACGUGAAGGAGGAAUCGCUAGUAAUCGCAGGUCAGCAUACUGCGGUGAAUACGUUCCC
rnacentral:rRNA from 1 species